rnacentral:rRNA from 1 species
CCGCGGGAUUAGAGUUUGAUCCUGGCUCAGGACGAACGCUGGCGGCGUGCUUAACACAUGCAAGUCGAGCGAGAGCCAGCUGAGGGGUAACCCUCGGCUGGGGACAGCGGCGAACGGGUGCGUAACACGUGGGCAACCUGCCCCUGACACUGGGAUAACCCCGGGAAACCGGAGCUAAUACCGGAUACUCUCGGCCGAUCACAUGGCUGGCCGAGGAAAGGUCCGCCGGUCAGGGAUGGGCCCGCGGCCUAUCAGCUUGUUGGUGGGGUAACGGCCUACCAAGGCGACGACGGGUAGCUGGUCUGAGAGGACGACCAGCCACACUGGAACUGAGAUACGGUCCAGACUCCUACGGGAGGCAGCAGUGGGGAAUAUUGCACAAUGGGCGAAAGCCUGAUGCAGCGACGCCGCGUGAGGGAUGAAGGCCUUCGGGUCGUAAACCUCUUUCGGCAGGGACGAAGCGAUCAGUGACGGUACCUGCAGAAGAAGCCCCGGCUAACUACGUGCCAGCAGCCGCGGUAAGACGUAGGGGGCGAGCGUUGUCCGGAUUCAUUGGGCGUAAAGCGCGCGUAGGCGGCUGCGCAAGUCGGUUGUGAAACCCCGGGGCUCAACCCCGGAACUGCAUCCGAUACUGCGUGGCUAGAGGUAGGUAGGGGAGAUCGGAAUUCCUGGUGUAGCGGUGAAAUGCGCAGAUAUCAGGAGGAACACCGGUGGCGAAGGCGGAUCUCUGGGCCUUACCUGACGCUCAGGCGCGAAAGCUAGGGGAGCGAACAGGAUUAGAUACCCUGGUAGUCCUAGCCGUAAACGUUGGGUGCUAGGUGUGGGCGGAUAUCGACCCCGUCCGUG